rnacentral:rRNA from 1 species
GAUUUCUGGCCUGAAACAUUUUGCCGGCCGCGGUUUCGCGUGUUAGUGCUUUGUGUUCUGGCCAUCCUUCCAAUCGCUAUUCAGCUUUCUUCAUUGAUUGCUGAGUGGUAUUGGAUCUUUUACUUUGAAAAAAUUAGAGUGUUUCAAGCAGGCUUUAUGCUAUGAAUACAUUAGCAUGGAAUAAUAAUUUAGGACUUCGGUUCUAUUUUGUUGGUUUCUAGGACUGAAGUAAUGAUUGAUAGGGAUAGUUGGGGGUGCUAGUAUUCAGCGGCCAGAGGUGAAAUUCUCGGAUUCGCUGAAGACUAACUUAUGCGAAAGCAUU